rnacentral:rRNA from 1 species
AACCUUACCAAAUCUUGACAUCCUUUGACCCUUACUAGAGAUAGAAGUUUCCCCUUCGGGGACAAAGUGACAGGUGGUGCAUGGUUGUCGUCAGCUCGUGUCGUGAGAUGUUGGGUUAAGUCCCGCAACGAGCGCAACCCUUAAGCUUAGUUGCCAUCAUUAAGUUGGGCACUCUAAGUUGACUGCCGGUGACAAACCGGAGGAAGGUGGGGAUGACGUCAAAUCAUCAUGCCCCUUAUGAUUUGGGCUACACACGUGCUACAAUGGACAAUACAAAGGGCAGCGAAACCGCGAGGUCAAGCAAAUCCCAUAAAGUUGUUCUCAGUUCGGAUUGUAGUCUGCAACUCGACUACAUGAAGCUGGAAUCGCUAGUAAUCGUAGAUCAGCAUGCUACGGUGAAUACGUUCCCGGGUCUUGUACACACCGCCCGUCACACCACGAGAGUUUGUAACACCCGAAGCCGGUGGAGUAACCAUUUGGAGCUAGCCGUCGAAGGUGGGACAAAUGAUUGGGGUGAAGUCGUAACAAGGUAAGCGUAGCGAG